CGGUUAGGGUUAAUUCGAGUUGGAACAGUUCAAUUCAAAAAAUUUGGGUUAAUUCGGGUUAGAAGUAAUAAUAAUGUAAAAAAAAUGGUUUGCUGAUUCAUAAUUUUGACUCAUUUGCUAAUAAUAAUAAUAAUGUAAAAAAAUGGUUUCAAUUGAACUGUAUUGGCACGCCUGGGGUUACUCACAUUUACUAACAGCUUACUUACAAUAUGGCAUUAUUUACAACUCAAUGGUGAUUGACUGAUUGCUUUGAUAGUUGAUUGAGAGCGUAAAGAUUUGGCAAUUGGCAGAAUUAUAGAGCAUGGAAGAGAGCUUAAGAUCAAAUAAUUACUGACCUUGAUGUUGAUGAGUUGAUGGAUCGGAUGGAUUGGAAGCUAGGCAGAGAUGGAAGUGAGUCAAGAGACGGCAGCUAGUUUGGAAGCGAACGGCACAGGGUGAACGGCUGCGGGCUGCGAGCGUCGGCAGUGUGGCCGUGUGGGAGUGAGUCAGCCGCGAGCGCGAGGUGAACGGCUUUGGGCUGCGAGCGUGUAGAGGGCGUGCUGAGGGCGAGCGUGAAUUAACUACGAAAAGUGAAUUAACUACGAUGCUGAGUGGGGCCUUCUACGAUGAUAGGCGUGUCGUCUGUCUGAACGCAAUCUUAAACCGUCGGUGAAACGUAAAGCUAAUCGUACGGCUGCGGCACGGGUACCUUCCCAUAUCAGAAAGAUUUUGCAAAUUUGAUGAAGUGGACCGGUCAAAAUAUGGGCCGUGUGGGGCCGACGGCCAUGGUGUUUGCGAUGUAGCAGUCAAAGGACGCUGCCGUUCGGAAUUUUGAAAUUUGUAUUAGGCUCUGUUUGUUACAGCUUAUUAAAUAGAGUUUAUAACAGUAGAGCUUAUAGCAGUAGAGCUUAUACCAAUAAAACUUUUGCACAAAAAGUUAUUGAGUGUUUGAUUGUCAAUAAAAAAAACACUUUUAAACCAUUAAACUAUGUGAUAUUUUUUAUAUUAUCUAUUUUUAGAAAAGCUCUAUAACCUCCACUCCCAAAAGCUCAAAUUUUGGGCUUUUACUAAUAGAGGUAAAUUAGCUUAUUUAAACUAAAAAAACUCUACUAAAAAAAUAACCAAACACCAUAAAAAUUUUAAAAAAGUGCUUAUACGAUUAAAUAAGUACUUAUGACUCUUAAAUAAGCCAUACCAAACAGACACUUAGUCCCCGACGUGCAUACACCAUCUGUCCACUCAACACAAGUUGCCUAAAGACAGGGAAUCGAAAAGGAAUAAAAAUAAAAAUUUAAAUAAAAACCAAUUACUAGAUGUUAUUUCGUCAUGCCAUUUAGUGAUGUACAUAUAUAUUAAGUUCAUCAAAUUUAUAAUUAG
rnacentral:lncRNA from 1 species